rnacentral:lncRNA from 1 species
UUUUAUAAUUUAAUCUUUUGAAUGUAAUAUAAAGGAACAAAAAGUAAAAUAUGGAGAUUUCACGAAGAUAUUUCUGCAGUUUGACAGAGCCAAACUCUUCUGAAAUGCUUUCAAUUCACAACUGUUGAUACCCAUAUUUCCACCAAGAACUAUCUUCUGUGUCAUCAAAGUGAUUAGUAAGGCUACAUAUUUCUAACAAUGCCCUAGUAUGCUUUUGUCUAGAUUUUACACCAAGUGGCAGAUAAGGCACCUGUUAUCUGCAAGUAAUAGCACCUGUUCUGCAAGUUUUGAUGCUGAUGCUUUACUGCUUGACAAAUGAAGUUUCAUUUUUGCUAAAGUUUAAUCAUGUCCCUAAAAAAUAGGUGGCCUCAAUUUAAAGUCAGCAGGAGGUCUCUGACAAAUUGAUAUGUUAGUUAUGAAAAUAAUUGGUAACCAUAAAUGACUUGUCUAUCUAAAGUAUAGAGUGUGUGAGAUAGCGAGAGAGUGAGUGUGUGUGUGUGUGUGUGUGUGUGUGUUUGUUUCUAAA